UUUAAUGUGGCAGAUUAGUGCAAUAGGCCUAAAAUCUAUUUAUAAAGAAAAACUUUCAUUAAAA
rnacentral:tRNA from 1 species